rnacentral:rRNA from 1 species
UACGAAGGGGGCUAGCGUUGUUCGGAUUUACUGGGCGUAAAGCGCACGUAGGCGGAUCGUUAAGUCGGGGGUGAAAUCCUGGAGCUCAACUCCAGAACUGCCUUCGAUACUGGCGAUCUAGAGUCCGGAAGAGGAGAGUGGAAUUCCUGGUGUAGCGGUGAAAUGCGCAGAUCUUGGAAAGACCACCAAUGGCGAAGGCACUCUACUGGGCCAUAACUGACACUA